GAUGAACGCUGGCGGCGUGCCUAAUACAUGCAAGUCGAGCGAACAGACGAGGAGCUUGCUCCUCUGACGUUAGCGGCGGACGGGUGAGUAACACGUGGAUAACCUACCUAUAAGACUGGGAUAACUUCGGGAAACCGGAGCUAAUACCGGAUAAUAUAUUGAACCGCAUGGUUCAAUAGUGAAAUACGGUUUUGCUGUCACUUAUAGAUGGAUCCUCGCCGCAUUAGCUAUUUGGAAAGGUAACGGGUUACCAAGGCAACGAUUGGUAGCCGACCUCAGAGUGUAGGCGCCCACCAUGCAGCUGAGACAGGGUCCACACACAUACGGCAGGCAGCGGUAGGGAAUGUUCCACAGUGGGCGAAAGACUAACGGAACAACGCCGCGUGUGAGAUGAAGGCCUUCGUUUCGUAAAACUCUGUUAUUAGGGAAGAACAAUUGUGUACGUAACUAUGCACGUCUGGACGGUACCUAAUCAGGAAGCCACGGCUAACUACGAG
rnacentral:rRNA from 1 species